GAUGAACGCUGGCGGCGUGCUUAACACAUGCAAGUCGAACGGAAAGGCCGAAGCUUGCUUCGGUACUCGAGUGGCGAACGGGUGAGUAACACGUGGGUGAUCUGCCCUGUACUUCGGGAUAAGCUUGGGAAACUGGGUCUAAUACCGGAUAUGACAAUCUCUUGGAUGGGGUUGUGGAAAGCUUUUGCGGUAUGGGAUGAGCUCGCGGCCUAUCAGCUUGUUGGUGGGGUAAUGGCCUACCAAGGCGUCGACGGGUAGCCGGCCUGAGAGGGUGUACGGCCACAGUGGGACUGAGAUACGGCCCAGACUCCUACGGGAGGCAGCAGUGGGGAAUAUUGCACAAUGGGCGCAAGCCUGAUGCAGCGACGCCGCGUGGGGGAUGACGGCCUUCGGGUUGUAAACUCCUUUCGCAACCGACGAAGCUUUUUGUGACGGUAGGUUGAGAAGAAGCACCGGCUAACUACGUG
rnacentral:rRNA from 1 species